rnacentral:rRNA from 1 species
UACGUAGGGUGCGAGCGUUGUCCGGAAUUAUUGGGCGUAAAGAGCUCGUAGGCGGCUUGUCGCGUCGGAUGUGAAAGCCCGGGGCUUAACCUCCGGGUCUGCAUUCGAUACGGGCAGGCUAGAGUUCGGUAGGGGAGAUCGGAAUUCCUGGUGUAGCGGUGAAAUGCGCAGAUAUCAGGAAGAACACCCGUGGCUAAGGCGGCUCUCUAGUACGGUACUGACGCUGAGACGCGAAAGCGUGGGGGAGCGAACAGG